UCACAAGUGUUGAUAAGGACAUGAGCAUUUUCUUACGGUUUCCAGAGAGGGAGAGCAAGGCUGAAACUUUCCUAACACGAAGAUUGUGCUUACCGCCUUUGAACUUCGGCCGUGAACGCAGCAAUGCCAGUAAUGGACCGACGGCAGCAGCCGUUAUCUGAUCUGGAGAUUUCAACAUUUUUGUUGAAAAGUAGGGUGGAAUCGCGAAUUAAACCUCGUCCCUUCG
rnacentral:ncRNA from 1 species